rnacentral:rRNA from 1 species
UACCAGCACCCCGAGUGGUCGGGACGAUUAUUGGGCCUAAAGCAUCCGUAGCCGGUUGUGCAAGUCCUCCGUUAAAUCCAGCCGCUCAACGGAUGGGCUGCGGAGGAUACUACAGGACUAGGAGGCGGGAGAGGCAAGCGGUACUCAGUGGGUAGGGGUAAAAUCCUUUGAUCCAUUGAAGACCACCAGUGGCGAAGGCGGCUUGCCAGAACGCGCUCGACGGUGAGGGAUGAAAGCUGGGGGAGCAAACCGG